UACGUAGGCAGCGAGCGUUGUUCGGAGUUACUGGGCGUAAAGAGUGCGUAGGCGGUUUUCUAAGUUUGGUGUGAAAUCUCCCGGCUCAACUGGGAGGGUGCGCCGAAGACUGGAAGGCUUGAGUAUGGGAGAGGUAAGCGGAAUUCCUGGUGUAGCGGUGAAAUGCGUAGAUAUCUGGAGGAACACCGGUGGCGAAGGCGGCAUCCUGGACCGGCAUUGACGCUGAGGCGCGAAAGCCAGGGGAGCAAACGGG
rnacentral:rRNA from 1 species